rnacentral:rRNA from 1 species
GGCGGUAAAUUAGUAUUUAGAGGAGCUUGCUUGAUAAUUGACUUUACUCAUUGGAUUUUACUUCAUUAAGUUUAUUUAUCUCCGUUAUAAAAAUGGUGUGUUUGAGGUAAUAUUUACAUUUGAUUUCAGGUCAAGAUGUAGCCUUAUGGAGUUAGGGUGAGCUACAUUUUAGGGUAUGUGGAUUGUUAGUUGGAUUAUCAUGAAAAUGGAUUUAGUAGUAAUUUUUUUUAGGAUUGAAAGAUGAAUGGUGGAGAUUUAUGUACACAUC